rnacentral:rRNA from 1 species
GACGAACGCUGGCGGCGUGCUUAACACAUGCAAGUCGAACGGAAAGGCCCCUUUGGGGGUACUCGAGUGGCGAACGGGUGAGUAACACGUGAGUAACCUGCCCUUGACUUCGGGAUAACUUCAGGAAACUGGGGCUAAUACCGGAUAGGAAUCCUUGCUGCAUGGUGGGGGUUGGAAAGCUUCGGCGGUUUUGGAUGGACUCGCGGCUUAUCAGCUUGUUGGUGGGGUAGUGGCUUACCAAGGCUUUGACGGGUAGCCGGCCUGAGAGGGCGACCGGCCACAUUGGGACUGAGAUACGGCCCAGACUCCUACGGGAGGCAGCAGUGGGGAAUAUUGCACAAUGGGCGGAAGCCUGAUGCAGCAACGCCGCGUGCGGGAUGACGGCCUUCGGGUUGUAAACCGCUUUCAGCAGGGGCGAAGCUUGUGGUGACGGUACCUGCAGAAGAAGCACCGGCUAACUACGG